CAUUGCAUAGGAGAUACACCUGUUCCCAUGUCGAACACAGAAGUUAAGUCCUAUAACGCCGGAAGUAGUUGGGGGUUGCCCCCUGUGAGAUAAGGUAGAUGCC
rnacentral:rRNA from 1 species